rnacentral:rRNA from 1 species
AGUCGGCGGACGGGNGGAGUAACACGUGGGUAACCUACCUAUAAGACUGGGAUAACUUCGGGAAACCGGAGCUAAUACCGGAUAAUAUUUCGAACCGCAUGGUUCGAUAGUGAAAGAUGGUUUUGCUAUCACUUAUAGAUGGACCUGCGCCGUAUUAGCUAGUUGGUAAGGUAACGGCUUACCAAGGCGACGAUACGUAGCCGACCUUAGAGGGUGAUCGGCCACACUGGAACUGAGACACGGUCCAGACUCCUACGGGAGGCAGCAGGA